AUUAUAGGCUUAUGCUCUCUGCCGAUGCCUGCUCACUGAACUCUCUGAAGUAGUCCCACAGGCUGGCAGCAUUAUUCACAAAUAAGGUGUGUAGGAGUUGUUCUGCUGCUAUGCAUUUAUUUAGAUGUAUAGCACACCCAUUUCCCAAGGACUCUGAGUGGGUGACAGAUUUAUGCAAGUAUUAAAAGCCCUGAUAUGAAGGUUCAUGAUGUAAAACAGAGAAAGGAAAUGAAAGCACAAAGAAGAGGGAAAUGAUAAGGAAAACAAGUGAAUAAAACUACCCUAAGGGCCGCAGUUUAGAGUGGGCAGGACUAGGCAGUCCGUAAUCCCACCCCAGGUUUCAGGCCCAUGAGAUUAUUGCUCAGCAGCUCUUGUAUCUCUGGCUGAUUGGCUGGUGUUACACAUUAUUGUUAUAAACAAUUAAAUGGGCCUGCUUACAGGAGAAAGCUUUUGACUAGAAGUGCUUAUUGUAGGGAUGUGCAAAACAUUUUGAGCUCAAAUGUUUCGAAUGUUUCAAGCUUGCAAUAAAACACCCUUAGAAUAAAGGGCCUAUUUCAAGCUCGAAACCAAACAACCCCUUUUCAGCUUAAAAUGUUUUGAGUGCCAUUUUGGAGGCCUGUUUUUCAACUUGCUGAUUGGUUUUCUGGUAUUGGCUUCCGAUUGGCUUGUGAUCUCCUUGCUUCUUGGUUGGCUUAUUACCACCCAAAUCAAGUGUUGUCAUGGGCAACUCUGCCCCCAUUGGCUGGGGUAGGGAGGGGGAGCCAAAGGAGAGAUAUUCAAAAUGUAUUUAAGGGACUAGGAGGCCAGAGAGCUGCCUUACAGUGUGCCUCUCAAAGAAGGAAGGUUCAGCUGCACAGACUGAGAUGGGUGGACCAGGGCCUACCUGUGUGGAGAGAGGGAGAGAGAGUGCCUGUGGCUUAUCCUCUUUCUCUUCCUUUUUAUUUUAUUUUAUUUUUAUUUUUUUCUAUUUGUUGUUAAUUGUAUCAGCAGUCACACUUAUUUUAACUGGGUGCUGAUGUGUGGUUGGGUGUUUUCUUCUUCUUGUAACCAGCCCUCAGUGGCUUUAAUAGCUGGGGUGCAAUGCUGACAUAUUUUGCUUUUGCAGUCCUAAGCUGCACCACCUUUGCUGCUGCUGCCGUGUGCCUUUUCCUUUUUUUCCUUUUCAGGUGAGUGAGUGGUUUGGGUGCCCACCCGCCUGGCACCCACCUGCCCUAUCCCCAGCUGUUGAGUCUCAGUGUGCUUAGCCCAAGUGCCUCUGAGGGUGGCACCUGACCAGAUUCCAGCAGAAGAUACAAGAAGAUGCCAGUGGAUUGAGCAGAACAGUAGAACAUCAUCUCCAGUGUGGGUCUCUUCAUAAGCUAAGUCAUAGGUCUACAAUUGUUAGGAGAAUGCUGAUUUUCUUGGGAACCUGUUCUUUCUGUUUCUGGAGAGCCUUAUUUAUGUCUGAUUGUUAGAAUCUCUGAUAUAACUAUUGUAGAAUCCACUUCGAAUAUGAAUACCGUGAAUAUUUAAAUACUGCUUUUCAACAAAAAGUUCCCAGAGCGGUUUACUAAUUAAUUAAUUAAUUAAUUAAUUAAUUAAGAAAGGCCCCCUGUCCCCAAAGAGCUCACAAUCCUUAAAAGAAACAUGCCAGCAACAGCCCCUGGAGGGAUGCUGUGUUGGAGGUGGAUAGGGCCAGUUGCACUUCCCCUACUAAAUAAAGAGAAUCACCAUUUUUAAGAGGUGCCUCUUUGCUCAAUUUGCAUCUCAAGAAUCUCCUGCUUGAAUGCCUUCAGAAAUGUCCCCCACUUAUUUGGUGUUGUGUAUGAAUGAACCAUAUAUUGUCCUUUACACAUUAGCAGCUCAUCCUAAUGAGCGAGGGAAGGAAGGCGCCAAACAAGACACAGCUGUCUCUGGUUCCCACCAGUUCUGGUUGCACCUGUGGAAGGAUCUUUGAAGGACCUUUUUUCCUGUGGAGGAUUUUUGGUGAUAUGUCAUCAGGACUGGCUUCUCAUUAUCAGUAAUGCUUUGCAGUUGGGGGAUCUGGGAACAGAUGAACAGACACCCACCCACCCACCCACCCACCCCAUAAUUAGAUUAUGUAAUGACAAUGUCCUUCGUUCUCUUGCAAGGGAUGGGAGGUAGUGGCCAGUGGGCCCCCUCCAUGUCUGUUUCAAAGACCUGCAUCACUUCACCAUUCAGCCCACUGAAAAUGGAGUCAUGUUUCUCCCCAAGGUUUUUCACAUGUUCAUAUCUUUGAGUUUGCUUUUUAAAUCCUCAUUUCUUAUGAGGAGGAUUACAUAAUUUUUCAGCAACUAUCUCUUACUGUAAAGUUUUUAAUUAGUUUUAAUUGUUUUAAUGCCAACCUGAUUUGGGGGGUUUUAAUUGUUAUGCUAGUUUAAUUGUUUUUUAAGAUGUUUUUAAAAUUGGUGUUAAUAUUUAUAUCUCUGUUUUAAUUGUUAUUGGUUUUAAUGGUUUCUGUUUUUAAUUUUAAACCACCCUGAGCCUUUUCGGAAGGGCAGUAUAAAAAUCGAAUAAAUAAAUAAAUAUCAGUCCCCGAUGCCUAAGCAGGCAUGGCUGCCACCUCAUUACACUUUGCCAGUGUCUUAUUAAAUGGUGCCUAAUUGAGCGUAUUAUAAGAGCCCACUCCACUUUCUUUUCUUUUCUGUAGGAGGCCAGCUGCCCCAUCGUGACCACAGACACUUCCUCAGUUAAGGGACUCACAGUACCUCUGCACUAUUGUCACCAUUUUGUGCGGACAAGAUGAAAUAGGAGAUGUUUACCCAGAUGGCACUGCAUAUGAAUCAAGAUGCGUCCUAGAGGUCACCAGGGCUUGCAGACACUAGUGAUGUAAAUCGCAUUAUGUACCUUCAAAGUUGUCCAAUGGAACUCCAGAGACUUACACCAUCUGGGAAGCUGGCUGCACACCAGCACAAAAAGGCCAUGUAAAGUUUAGGAAAACAGGUUAAAAUGAAAUGUGCUUAGUAAUAAUUAUGCUCCCCAUUCCCUCCUUCUCUUUUGAGCCUAGGUCUUGAGUGUUUAGUGAGGGAAGAAACACUGGAAACAUUGUUCUUUGCUCAGCAACACUUCAGCAGUCUUCAGGAUGUAAAUAUUGCUUCCUUUUGUGGACUCCUCAUCUGUGAUGGCUGGGCAUUCAGUGUGAGGUGUGGUGGGUAGGUUUUUCCUUCUCUACGUUAUCCCCAAUGUAGUGCAUUGAUUAGCAUGCAAGAACAUCACUAGUGAUGGGGACUAAAUAUGGCCCUGAGUUCCAUGCCUGGUAGGGAUGUGCACGAAAUUCGCUCAAAUUGAUUUAGAAUCGAAUUCAAAUUGAUUUGAAUCGAUUUGACCAAAUUCAAUUUGACUUUGGGCGAUGUCAAAAUUAUUCGAACAAGUUUCAUGCACAUUCACUAUGUCUGGAACUAGGAAUGAGUUUUGCUCACUCGCAACAGUUUCCCAGAUCAAAACCUGUGUGCUCUGUCCCACAGAAUUCAAUUGAAGCCACUAAGAACUCAGCCAGCACUGAGAUGCAUAGCUCCAUUUUUCCAUCUGCACAAGUUUGAUGGGUGGGUAGAGAAGCAGGGGGAACAGAUUUUUCUACUCUUCUGCCCAUCUAUUGCCAUCCACAACCCAAGCGGAGGUGUCCACCCAUUGCUCCACUCACUACCUCAGCAACAACCUCAAUGAUGAAAAGAAUGUUAAGGAGAUGAAAGUGGAAAAUUCUUCAUUCAUCCAUUCCCUGCUCUCCUAUUUACAACUGACUGAGUCUUUUGCUACCAGAAGAGUAAAUGAAUGGAGCCAGACAUGUUUUUCCAAACUUGUCUCCGCUCCCUAUGGCUCCGAGCUGAACUUAGCCUUCAGGCCCUGUGAAGGAAGCCAAGAACAUUUCCUUCAGACCCUGUGCAUAGCCUCCUUGCCCCUCCUAAGCCCGGCUACUGUGUUGGAAAGCUUCUUGCACAGGUUUGCAAUGCCUCUCAUACCACCAGGAUACUCUAAGGAGGGACCAUGGGACAAAAUGCUGUAGAAUUAUAGAGGUACAACUGUAACACACGUACACACACACACAGGCAUCACAUGAUUUAGUGUUUUUUCAAGGAACAAAUAAAUUAAAAGAUCAAAACUCUUUCAGUUUGAGAUGAGAGUGAAGGUGCAAACAGUUUUCACUCAUACUAAAAAAGAAGGUAGAAAUGGCAAGUUAAGAUGGCCACCUUAAUUUCUGUGAACAGUAAAGCCUUUGUAUGCUCUCACAUAUGCUGGUUUUAAAAUUUAGGCUCCAUGCACCCCAACUUUGUCUUUCAGCUCAACAUUGGCUAGAGAGAGAGAUGUCCAUGCAGAAAUUCAACAUGUACAUCUUCCUCAGUCAUUUGUUAGAGAGAUGCACCUGACGAAUUUUUGCGUGACACACCUCUCCAAGACAGAGAGGUCAUACACAUGGCCUGCUUUUCUUGGAGCAAGAGAAGGCUAGUGGGGAAGGCAGGAGUGAUCAUGUUGAAGGCAGGAGUGAACAUGUUGAAUUUCCUGCCUUCCACCACACGAGCAAUGCGGCCAGCCCGCUCGCUGCACCACACUCUCAGAUGAGCACCACUGUGGUGAGCAGUGCAGCAUUCUGGAGGCCAGGAAGAUGCAGCCUGGCCUCUGGAAAUCCCACAGUACACUAUGUGAGGAGCGUGGUGUAGUGGGAGAUUUCCCCAUUAGCAGGGCACUCUAGGCACCAGGCUUUGUGUCUGCUCAGGCUGCCUGCAGCACACACACAACUGGGGAAUGAGGUAAGAGGGCGUAUGUGAAGUAAAAGUCAGGGGGGAGGACCCCAGGCUACCCAGCAGGGCAGUACUGGGGUCAGCAUUGUUCUCGGCACCUCACACAAGCAGCCCUCGUGUAUAGGUAGGGCUGCACAAGCCUGCUCAUGUGAACAGCCUUAAAGUGUUUCCCAAAAACGCCAUUUUGCAGAAACAGUGGUCAUCAGGCAGAAAUCCAAGUAUAUCUCUAGAAAGUGAGUGGAGAAGGCACACACAUUGAAUGUUUGCCCUUUCCACCCCAAUGUUCACUUAAAAGACUAAAGUGGUCCCACUCCUACUUCUCGGGCAGGUCUCUUGGAGACUGUUGUUCUUCAAAAUCUGAACUUCUGUAUGCUGUUCCUCAGGGCUCCGUAUUGUCUCUAAUGUUGUUUAACAUCUGCAUGAAACUGCUGGGAGAGAUCAUCAGGAAAUUUGGUGCUGGGUGCUAUCAGUUUGCUGAUGACAUCCAAAUCUAUUUCUCCAUGUCAACAUCAUCGGGAGAGGGCAUAACCUCCCUAAAUCCCUGCCUGGAGGCGGUGAUGGGUUGGAUGAGGGAUAACAAACAGACUGAUAAGACAGAGGUACUCAUUGUGCGGGGUUGAAACUCAGGAGAUGAGUUUGAUUUGCUUGUUCUGGAUGGGGUCACACUUCCCCAGAAGGAACAGGUAGGCAGUCUGGGGGUGCUUCUGGAUCCAAGCCUCUCCCUGGUGUCCCAGGUUGAGGCAGUUGCCAGAGGUGCCUUCAUAUCAUAUCAGAUUCAUAUCAGCUUUGGCUGAUAUGUCAGCUACAUCCAUUUCUUGAGAUAAAUAACAUCAGAACAGUGGUACAUAUGCUGGUAACCUCUAGGCUAGAUUACUACAAUGUGCUCUAUGUGGGGCUGCCUUUGUCUGGAAACUGCAGUUGGUCCAGAAUGUGGCAGCCAGGUUAGUCUCUGGAUCAUCUCGGAGAGACCAUAUUAUUUCCGUAUUGAAAGAGCUACACUGGCUGCCGAUAUGUUUCCAGGCAAAAUACAAGGUGCUGGUUAUAACCUAUAAAGCCCUAAAUGGCUUGGGCCCUGGGUAUUUAAGAGAAUGUCUUCUUUGUCACAAACCCCACCGCCCACUGAGAUCAUCCGGAGAGGUCUGUCUGCAGUUGCCACCGGCUCAUCUGGUGACUGCUUGGGGGGCAGGCCUGCGCUGCUUUCCUGAAGUUUUGGGAUGCGCUCCCUGCUGAAAUAAGAGUCUCCCCAUCUCUAAAGUUGUCAGACAUAUCUUUAAAGACGCAUCUGUUCAGCCAGGCUUUUAAUUAAAUACGGUUUUAAUAGUUUUAACUUUUUUUAAAAAAAUGUUGUUUUAAAAAUUUAAAUUUUUGUAAUGUGUUAA